UACGAAGGUGGCAAGCGUUGUUCGGAUUCACUGGGCGUAAAGGGUGCGCAGGUGGGUUUGCAAGUUCGAUGUGAAAGCCCCGGGCUUAACCCGGGAAUGGCAUUGGAUACUGCAGAUCUGGAGGAUUGGAGGGGGGACUGGAAUUCUUGGUGUAGCAGUGAAAUGCGUAGAUAUCAAGAGGAACACCAGUGGCGAAGGCGAGUCCCUGGACAAUUCCUGACACUGAGGCACGAAAGCUAGGGGAGCAAACAGG
rnacentral:rRNA from 1 species